rnacentral:tRNA from 1 species
GGGGAUAUACCUUAGUGGUAGAGCAUUCGACUGCAGAUCGCGAGGUCCUGGUUCAAAUCCGGGUGUCCCCU